rnacentral:rRNA from 1 species
UACAGAGGGUGCGAGCGUUAAUCGGAAUUACUGGGCGUAAAGCGCGCGUAGGCGGCUUUGCAAGUCGGGUGUGAAAUCCCCAGGCUUAACCUGGGAACUGCAUUCGAGACUGCAUUGCUAGAGUAUGGGAGAGGGAAGUGGAAUUUCCGGUGUAGCGGUGAAAUGCGUAGAUAUCGGAAGGAACAUCAGUGGCGAAAGCGACUUCCUGGACCAAUACUGACGCUCAUAUGCGAAAGCGUGGGGAGCAAACAGG